AAAAGUAACCGACAAAGGAAACCUGUUUACACAAUGCCACUAGUUGUAAUAGGAGGACUAUUACAGAUAGAUGUUCAGCAGCAAAUUGAUACAAAUCAUGUAGGGACUGAAAAAAGUCCUUGCCAGCUUGGGUGAGAUUCGAACCCAAGUCCCUGGAGCAAAAUACAAGAAACACCACAGUAUUAACCUGCAUCUGACUGUGGACCAAUAAUGCUUUACGCUGGUGUGAUGCCCAUCUCUUCAAUCUGAUCUAUAUCAGUCACUUUGCAGCCAUCGAUGUACUCCAUCGUCAAAACUCUCUGAGGAAGAAUCAACCAAAAGGAUUCAAAGAAAACUAUCUGCCCCAAGCUGAAGUGCACCCCCA